AAGAACAUUUAAACGUUGUGAGGUUGUGAAAUGAGGUUGUGAAAUUAGGUUAACCGAUGAGGACCACCAAUAUGACAAGUCGUACAAAAUUUUCUCUGAGAUAAUCAUCCAGCAACGAAUUAUCAAGAACCAUGAGAUUUUAAGGAUGACCAAGUUACUUCAGUUGUUUUCAAAAAUUGUUAAAAAGCAUGAAGGGCUUGAAAUGACAAAUUACAGAACUGAUCAACUUAAGUACGGUUUAAGGAAGGACUUUCCACAGUUAUGCUUUCAUAAACCAUAUCGUAGAAAUCAAGGUGAGAUGGUGUUUACAGAGGAGUUGACGUGUUAGCCAGUGUCGUAACAGGUGCGGGGGGAGGGGGAAACUGUCCCUCCCCUGACGGUUUUUACCGGGCUGCCC